ACUGGCUGACUGGCUGACGGGAACAGCAGGGUGUGAAAUAGUGGUUGUUAUUAGCCCCAGGUGUGCCGGCAAAAUCGUCCCACCAUCUCCUCGCCCCUCCACUUCCGCCCGGGCGUGCCACAAAACCCUUAUCACAUUUUCUGUUAGACACAAAUAUAAAGGUUUAACAUGAAAUUCAUGACCAUAAAGAAGGAGAUAGGUCUCCUCCCCCGUGAACUUUGAGAGUUGCUGCCUAGUAGUAGGUUUGCAAUCGCUUUCUGCAGUCAUAUACUCUCUCCACUCAGGCUCUUCAGGCUCCACUCAGACCUGACGCGCUUCAUAAGCUGGAGCACUUCGACAUUUAAGGUGAAGCUCGUUGUCUUCAGAGAAGAUCCACUCGGAUUCAAGGAAUGUCUCUAAGAUGGCUUGUGUUAUCUGUGUUCCUACAAGGCACCAGCAGUUUUAUGAUCUACAACAACAUUCAAGGCUUAUGUUUGCAAGACGUCCCCAAGAACAACACGGUGCAGUUAAAGCGCUGCGAUGUGACCGCGGAUGUUCAGCAGUGGUCCUGGAAAGACCAGCGCAUGUUGGUGAACAAGGUGACGAAGCGGUGCCUGUCAACUCACCCGGUCAGUCCUGUCCUCACUGUGCCGUGUGACAGCAGCCGUAGCGUCUGGUGGAACUGUCACAGUCACAGGCUGAUCAGCCACAAUGAUUCCCUGGAGCUGAGCACAGAUGGAAGAGAUCUGUUCCUGUCUGGAGGGACCAAACUUUCCAAGUGGUGGUCUCUCGAAGUACAGGAUAUCUGCAAGGAGAGGCAGCGAUUUAGAAGGGGAUCCAGUGAGCAUGAUUACUUUGAAGUGAAGGAAGAAGAUUAUGAAAUCACAGACACGGAAGACGAGAGCAUGGCUGACAAACAGAGAGAGUACCUCAGGUGGUAUUACCGCGUAGAGGAUGCCUUACCCUGGAAAUACUCCAUAUUAGCGCUGUCCUCUGUGUCACUCCUCAUUGGCUGUGUGCUGCUAGUUAAGGAUGUAAUGGAUAACAGGACCAGAAAGAAGAGAGCGAAGCACAAAUCUGCGUCGCUCACACCGAACGGGGAGGAGCUCCAGAUCAUGACUGGCAAAAGAGGCUGCGGUGCUCCAGCCCUAGAAAGUGAGCUAAGCAGCAAGCCCCUUCAGGAUGACUAUGAUACAGCAAAGCCAAAGAUGGGAAACCCUGCAGCUGAGUGCGAGGAGACAAAAAGGCUCUCGCUGCAACCAGAGCUUCAGGAAGAGGAUGUGUAAGGGCUCAGCCAGAGCUGCAAACUGGUUCUCUGCUCACAUGCUGCAAGAGCCAUAACAGAUUUUUUUUAAAAAAAAAAAACUUGGGCUACUCAAGAUUAGUUACUAAUGCAUCUAAUGUGUCAUUAAUAAAAAAAUUUAAAAAAAAACUACA
rnacentral:lncRNA from 1 species